GAUCCAGCCAUGCCGCGUGUGUGAAGAAGGCCUUUUGGUUGUAAAGCACUUUAAGCGAGGAGGAGGCUACCGAGAUUAAUACUCUUGGAUAGUGGACGUUACUCGCAGAAUAAGCACCGGCUAACUCUGUGCCAGCAGCCGCGGUAAUACAGAGGGUGCAAGCGUUAAUCGGAUUUACUGGGCGUAAAGCGCGCGUAGGUGGCCAAUUAAGUCAAAUGUGAAAUCCCCGAGCUUAACUUGGGAAUUGCAUUCGAUACUGGUUGGCUAGAGUAUGGGAGAGGAUGGUAGAAUUCCAGGUGUAGCGGUGAAAUGCGUAGAGAUCUGGAGGAAUACCGAUGGCGAAGGCAGCCAUCUGGCCUAAUACUGACACUGAGGUGCGAAAGCAUGGGGAGCAAACAGGAUUAGAUACCCUGGUAGUCCAUGCCGUAAACGAUGUCUACUAGCCGUUGGGGCCUUUGAGGCUUUAGUGGCGCAGCUAACGCGAUAAGUAGACCGCCUGGGGAGUACGGUCGCAAGACUAAAACUCAAAGGAAUUGACGGA
rnacentral:rRNA from 1 species